UACGUAGGGUGCGGGCGUUAAUCGGAAUUACUGGGCGUAAAGCGUGCGCAGGCGGUUUUGCAAGCCGGAUGUGAAAUCCCCGGGCUUAACCUGGGAAUGGCGAUGGAGACUGCAAGGCUAGAGUUUGGCAGAGGGGGGUAGAAUUCCACGUGUAGCAGUGAAAUGCGUAGAGAUGUGGAGGAACACCGAUGGCGAAGGCAGCCCCCUGGGUCAAAACUGACGCUCAUGCACGAAAGCGUGGGGAGCAAACAGG
rnacentral:rRNA from 1 species